GGGAGUGAGGGGGGGGGCUCCGGCUCGGCUAUACAUGUCUAGUCGAGCGAACUGAUUAGGAGCUUGCUCCUUUGAAGUUAGCGGCGGACGGGUGAGUAACACGUGGGUAACCUACCUAUAAGACUGGAAUAACUUCGGGAAACCGGAGCUAAUGCCGGAUAACAUUUGGAACCGCAUGAGUCUAAAGUAAAAGAUGGUUUUGCUAUCACUUAUAGAUGGACCCGCGCCGUAUUAGCUAGGUGGGAAGGUAACGGCUUACCAAGGCAACGAUACGUAGCCGACCUGAGAGGGUGAUCGGCCACACUGGAACUGAAACACGGUCCAGACUCCUACGGGAGGGAGCAGUAGGGAAUCUUUCGCAAUGGACGAAAGUCUGACGGAGCAACGCCGCGGGAGUGAUGGAGGUUUUCGGAUCGUAAAACUCUGUUAUUAGGGAAGAACAAAUGUGUAAGUUACUGUGCACAUCUUGACGGUACCUAAUCAGAAAGCCACGGCUAACUACGUGCCAGCAGCCGCGGUAAUACGUAGGGUGGCAAGCGUUAUCCGGAAUUAUUGGGCGUAAAGCGCGCGUAGGCGGUUUUCUUAAGUCUGAUGUGAAAGCCCACGGCUCAACCGUGGAGGGUCAUUGGAAACUGGGAAACUUGAGUACAGAAGAGGAAAGUGGAAUUCCAUGUGUAGCGGUGAAAUGCGCAGAGAUAUGGAGGAACACCAGUGGCGAGGCGACUUUUCUGGUCUGUAACUGACGCUGAGCGCGAAAGCGUGGGAUCAAACAGGAUUAGAUACCCUGGUAGUCCACGCCGUAAACGAUGAGUGCUAAGUGUUAGGGGGUUUCCGUCCUAUAGUGCUGCAGCUAAACGCAUUAAAGCACUCCGCUGGGGAGUACGAUCGCAAGAUUGAACCUCAAAGGAUGACGGGACUCGCAACAGCGGUUGGAGCAUGUGUUUAGUUGCGAGCACCGAAGAACUACCGAGUCUGACAUCUUGGAAACUCUAGGAAUGAGCCUCCCUUCGGGAACAAAGGACAGGGAGCAUGGUUGCGCACGCUCGGUCAGGAAUUGUAGUCCCGACGGCACUUGACUUAUGCCAGUAAGUGGACUCUAGGUGACGGCGGAUUA
rnacentral:rRNA from 1 species